CUCAUUUUUCUACUGCUCGUGGAUUUACGCGCACGUUGGAACCGAAGAGAGCUCUGUUGUUGCAAUGUUCAGCCCACAAGAGCUUACUGGUGAAGGAAUGGGACAAGACCCAUCUUUAUGCAAAGCCAGCGUUACAGUAAUGUUCCAGCAUCUCAUAAUCUAUCCUGGGGAAUUCAGCUGCCUCCCAGGGUGAAUACAGGUAUUCCUGAUGACAGUCUGCCUCUAUCUUACAGUACUACUAACCAAUAACCUGCUUGGCUCAAAGGGCCAGCACCUUCUCUCUAAAGCCCAAGAGGAGUUUGAGGAAAACUAGGUGUCUGUGUUCACUCCAGGCUGAAGUUACAGGUCUGAGCAAAUAAGGUGUAUAAAAAAUGGAAUCUGUCUUGGAGGACAUCAGAAGGUGAAUUUUCCAAGUUCUUGGACAACCUAGCUGUUGAAAAGCUUUCUGGGUUUGGGGGGUAUUUCAGAUGUACCUUAAAGUGUUAGCAGACACAGAUUAAGACACUGGGAGCCAAUGAAACAGCAGUUGAGGGUUUGCUGUGUAUCACAUUUCUGUAUUUUAUCACCCCCUUCCUGCAACAUUAUUUAUCUGGAAUCUACCUGCCCUUUUGUUUUUUAGAUACAAGGGCUUGGUUUUGUUACCCAGGCUGGUUUCAAGGCCAUAGCUUUAAGAGAUCCUCUCACCACAGAUUUCCAAAGUGCUGGGAUUGCAGGUGUGAUUCAUGGCACCCAGACUUUGCUGCCUUUCUUACAUGAUCCAGGCCCAGAACCCAAACUCAGGCACUGUAUAGAUGACCACUUUCGUAAACUACUGACCUAGCUUGUUGCCAAUUGUUGAUUGAACUUCCCAUAACUCCACUUCGUGUCUGUUCCUCUGUAUACAGCCACCUUCUGUUCCCGUCAUGAGCCUUUAGGUCUCCAUUUGCAUAUUGCAAAUACUAUGUUCCAUGUAGGUAGCUCAUUCAGGGCCUUGCUCUUCACUUCAAAAAAGGUUCCCUUGAGGACUGGCUGUCAAUUUGUGUUGCUGUGUUGGUUGUUGAUGAAAAUAAUAAAAUGAUUGAUUACAUAG
rnacentral:lncRNA from 10 species